GAUGAACGCUGGCGGCGUGCCUAACACAUGCAAGUCGAGCGAUUCUCUUCGGAGAAGAGCGGCGGACGGGUGAGUAACGCGUGGGUAACCUGCCUCAUACACAUGGAUAACAUACCGAAAGGUAUGCUAAUACAAGAUGAUAUAAGAGAUUCGCAUGGAUUUCUUAUCAAAGCUCCGGCGGUAUGAGAUGGACCCGCGUCUGAUUAGCUAGUUGGUAAGGUAACGGCUUACCAAGGCGACGAUCAGUAGCCGACCUGAGAGGGUGAUCGGCCACAUUGGAACUGAGACACGGUCCAAACUCCUACGGGAGGCAGCAGUGGGGAAUAUUGCACAAUGGGCGAAAGCCUGAUGCAGCAACGCCGCGUGAGCGAUGAAGGCCUUCGGGUCGUAGAGCUCUGUCCUCAAGGAAGAUAAUGACGGUACUUGAGGAGGAAGCCCCGGCUAACUCCGUGCCAGCAGCCGCCGUAAAAC
rnacentral:rRNA from 1 species